GGGCGUUUAGCGCAGUGGUAGCGCGUAUGCUUUGCAAGAUACCGGGCGACCGGUUCUGAUCAUGUGUAUAAGGUCCAGGGUUCAAUCCCCUGAACGUCCA